AUUGAACGCUGGCGGCAUGCCUUACACAUGCAAGUCGAACGGCAGCAUGGAGGAGCUUGCUCCUCUGAUGGCGAGUGGCGAACGGGUGAGUAAAGCAUCGGAACGUGCCGUGUAGUGGGGGAUAACGUAGCGAAAGUUACGCUAAUACCGCAUACGCACCGAGGUGGAAAGCAGGGGAUCGCAAGACCUUGCGAUAUACGAGCGGCCGAUGUCAGAUUAGCUAGUUGGUGGGGUAAAGGCCUACCAAGGCGACGAUCAGUAGCUGGUCUGAGAGGACGAUCAGCCACACUGGGACUGAGACACGGCCCAGACUCCUACGGGAGGCAGCAGUGGGGAAUUUUGGACAAUGGGCGAAAGCCUGAUCCAGCAAUGCCGCGUGUGUGAAGAAGGCCUUCGGGUUGUAAAGCACUUUUGUCCGGAAAGAAAUGGCUCUGGUUAAUACCUGGGGUCGAUGACGGUACCGGAAGAAUAAGGACCGGCUAACUACGUGCCAGCCGCCGCCGUAA
rnacentral:rRNA from 1 species